rnacentral:rRNA from 1 species
GAAACGGGCGCUAAUACCGCAUACGUCCUGAGGGAGAAAGUGGGGGAUCUUCGGACCUCACGCUAUCAGAUGAGCCUAGGUCGGAUUAGCUAGUUGGUGGGGUAAAGGCCUACCAAGGCGACGAUCCGUAACUGGUCUGAGAGGAUGAUCAGUCACACUGGAACUGAGACACGGUCCAGACUCCUACGGGAGGCAGCAGUGGGGAAUAUUGGACAAUGGGCGAAAGCCUGAUCCAGCCAUGCCGCGUGUGUGAAGAAGGUCUUCGGAUUGUAAAGCACUUUAAGUUGGGAGGAAGGGCAGUAAGUUAAUACCUUGCUGUUUUGACGUUACCAACAGAAUAAGCACCGGCUAACUUCGUGCCAGCAGCCGCGGUAAUACGAAGGGUGCAAGCGUUAAUCGGAAUUACUGGGCGUAAAGCGCGCGUAGGUGGUUCAGCAAGUUGGAUGUGAAAUCCCCGGGCUCAACCUGGGAACUGCAUCCAAAACUACUGAGCUAGAGUACGGUAGAGGGUGGUGGAAUUUCCUGUGUAGCGGUGAAAUGCGUAGAUAUAGGAAGGAACACCAGUGGCGAAGGCGACCACCUGGACUGAUACUGACACUGAGGUGCGAAAGCGUGGGGAGCAAACAG